CCAAUUAUAAUGUUAAGAUUUCUUGUGUUUUGUAGUAGCGUUAAACGCGGCGCGGCGUAGACGGCAAUGGUAGUGUUUCGUGUAUUGUUAGAAUUAGUAUUUGGUAAAAUGCGCGUCGCGUAGAGUCAAACGCGACGCGUCGCUUCGUUUCUGGUGUGGGACACGUUUCGCAUAAUGCACGAGCUCGACGCGGCGGAACACCCGUUCCACGUUACGCCACAGCGUGACGUCUUUGACGAUCGGGUCGAUUUAUUUUCCGAGACGUUGAUCGCAUCACAGGUGUGGAUGACGGGGGGAGAGGGAAGGUGUACCGGAAGCGGGUCGCGGUGCGUGAGAUCCGAGUGACGGGUGUCACUCGCCUAUUGGACGGAACGCUACGUAACGCGAACGUUUCCGGGACGUUCGUAGCACACACAUCGGGGAUUUAGAAAAGGGGAAACACGCGACCUUAGCGAGUGUCGUCCAUUUAUUUCUCUCGCCAUUGUUUUUAGGACGUAACCAACCGACUGAGACAAUACUAUCAGUAAAAAUGGCACCCGAGACACUACACCUCCACCCCUGCCGAGUGCCGAUCGAAAACGAGGUUUCGACGAGGUAGAUCUAGUCGACCUCAUCUCCUACCAGACAGAGAUCAACAGGUUGGCUGAUGAAGUAAGACGUCUUCGUAACGAAGGAGACACUUGCAUACGGCUCGUCCACCCCUCUCACAAACAGGUUGUGACGGAACAGGAACUGCAACAGGAACAUCGGAAUCAGUCGACGAGGCAUCGAACGACAGCACGAAAUUCGAAGUACUGCGGAUAGACAGAAGGGGUUAUGGGGAAGUGAAGAGAGCCUGUCCAGAGCUAGAAAAGUGAAGAUUUUAAAAGAAAAUUUCAGCACGUUGAUAUGCUGAGUUGGAAAUGGAGCAUGAAAACAAAGUACAGAAAGCCUUGAGGAUGAGAACGUGACAGACAGAUACGGAAGAGAAAUCGAAAAUGGCCGACUUGGCAGCAGAUAAGCAAGUGUGAGUAUAUUACGGUUUAUAGAUAAUGUUACGGAUAUACUCGACAUUGCAAAAAGGGUAAGGGAGAAAAUGACGACCGAAACACUGCAAUUUUGUAAUUAAAAACGUUUCUUUCCAAGGAGCAACAGUUAAGAAUGUAAAGAAGGUGUGGAUGCUGCUAGUCUCCAUCAACUACACACUAAAGAAGGUAAAGAUAGAAUGUAUUAUGCACUCCCCUUCACUGGGAUUGUUUUUAAGUGUGCACCUCACUUGGUUUCUAGAAUUAUCACAAGUUUGCACAGUUUCUUUUUGUUUUUGGUGCGGGCACAUUUGGCCUCCUUGCAAAGUGCACCAUUGCAUGAGAACGUAACGCAUGGAAUGCAUGAGUAGAUGCGGUUGCCGGUCCAAUCUCAUCCUGUAACUCUGGGCUUUUAUUGAUAUUCAGGGUGCCUGGUGAGAUCAGACAGGCUUAUUCCGUAAUGUUUGUGGUGACGGUGAGCACAACUGUUUCCGCUCCUUAAAUUCCUAAAUUUUAAUCUUAGUUUAAGAGCGCUUGCGACACGUGUUUUGUUUCGUGUAGUGAGCAUUUGUUAAUAUUGAUAUAUCCUUUGCAAGUGUGCGUGUGCCUGUGUAUUGUGUAUGUAAUCCUGAGCAACGUGGUUCCUUCCCAAAAGCAAUGGAACGUGCUGUUAACGCGUAAAGAAUGCCUGCACCCUGCAUUGCAUGCUAUGACGGCUUUGGCGGGAGUAUUCCAUCAGGUACUGGUUGAUUUUCCAUACCAGUACUUAUGUGAUACUCACAUCUCGGCCGCCACAUCCAGCUGUGGACACCCACGUUGCAAGAAUGAUUUUGACCCGGAAUGCCACCAUUCUGAAGCUCGCUGGUGCAUGCAUCAGAUGUAACUUUUGUAUACAAAACUGCAAGAAUGAGGAACGUAAGAGGAAGUGUUGGCAGAUUUAUUAUUUCUAACAGUUUCUUAAUUUCAGUAUCGAAGAUCUCUACGCUUCAAGAAUCCGUCAAAGAAAUUAGGAAUGGAAAGAAUGGUGGACAGGAAACAUGAAAAGUCUGGUGUAGUAUCCUUUGCAGCACUCAGGAGUCAGAAAUUGGAUGUGAUUCUUCCUCUCCAUUAAGUAUUGGAUUUCAUUCAUGGAAUGGCAAAAAGGAUGUCACUGCAAGGAGAGAGAACAGUAAGAAAUCAAAGGCAAAGGAUGGAUAUUAUCUAUGUAAAAAACAACUCAAAGCACAGUGCCAGAAAGCCAAUCAAGUAGAGAAACAAAUGAGCCCCAAGAAGCCUCAAUUCAACCUUUUCCAGCCAGUAAACUGAAGUGUCACAGGCUUCAAAGAUCAACCAUUCGCCUCUCCAAUGACUUGGACAAAUCUCCAGCAUUGGUCAUUCAUACUAUUCUCUCUUCUCUGCCCACCUUCACCCCAAUUCUGAUGACGGAUGUCGGUGUUUCCAACAUAUCCUGAGGGAUACACUGGUAAUGUGCUGUGAGCCUUCUAAGAAAUUGUUAGAGGAAAUAUUUAUGUAUCUAUAAUUUACUAAUAAAAAUUAUAAUUUUUAUACUGUU